rnacentral:rRNA from 1 species
CCUACGGGGAGCAGCAGUGGGGAAUAUUGGACAAUGGGGGCAACCCUGAUCCAGCCAUGCCGCGUGUGUGAAGAAGGCCCUCGGGUUGUAAAGCACUUUCAGUGAGGAAGAACGCCUGGUGGUUAAUACCCAUCAGGAAAGACAUCACUCACAGAAGAAGCACCGGCUAACUCCGUGCCAGCAGCCGCGGUAAUACGGAGGGUGCGAGCGUUAAUCGGAAUUACUGGGCGUAAAGCGCGCGUAGGUGGCUUGAUAAGCCGGUUGUGAAAGCCCCGGGCUCAACCUGGGAACGGCAUCCGGAACUGUCAAGCUAGAGUGCAGGAGAGGAAGGUAGAAUUCCCGGUGUAGCGGUGAAAUGCGUAGAGAUCGGGAGGAAUACCAGUGGCGAAGGCGGCCUUCUGGACUGACACUGACACUGAGGUGCGAAAGCGUGGGUAGCAAACAGGAUUAGAUACCCUUGUAGUC